rnacentral:rRNA from 1 species
UACGGAGGGUGCAAGCGUUAAUCGGAAUUACUGGGCGUAAAGCGCACGCAGGCGGUUUGUUAAGUCAGAUGUGAAAUCCCCGGGCUCAACCUGGGAAUAGCAUCUCAUACUGGCAAGCUAGAGUCUUGUAGAGGGGGGUAGAAUUCCACGUGUAGCGGUGAAAUGCGUAGAGAUGUGGAGGAAUACCGGUGGCGAAGGCAGCCCCGUGGGA